rnacentral:rRNA from 1 species
GUGUCAGCAGCCGCGGUAAUACGUAGGAUGCAAGCGUUGUCCGGAUUUACUGGGCGUAAAGCGCGCGCAGGCGGCUCUUUAAGUAUGGCGUGAAAUCUCCCUGCUCAACGGGGAGGGUGCGUUGUAGACUGAGGAGCUUGAGGUCGGUAGAGGGGGGUGGAAUUGCUGGUGUAGCGGUGAAAUGCGUAGAGAUCAGCAGGAACACCCGUGGCGAAGGCGGCCCCCUGGGCCGUACCUGACGCUGAGGCGCGAAGGCUAGGGGAGCGACCCGGAUUAGAAACCCGCGUAGUCC